CGGAAUGAGUACACUCUAAACCCUUUAACGAGGAUCAAUUGGAGGGCAAGUCUGGUGCCAGCAGCCGCGGUAAUUCCAGCUCCAAUAGCGUAUAUUAAAGUUGUUGCGGUUAAAAAGCUCGUAGUCGAAUUUGUGUCUCGCACCGCCGGUUCAUCGUUCGCGGUGUCAACUGGCGUGCCGCGAGACGUCCUGCCGGCGGGCUUAGCUCGCAAGAGCGGCCCAACUCAAUCCCGCCGCGGUGCUCUUCACUGAGUGUCGAGGUGGGCCGGCACGUUUACUUUGAACAAAUUAGAGUGCUUAAAGCAGGCUAAAACUUCGCCUGAAUACUGUGUGCAUGGAAUAAUGAAACAGGACCUCGGUUCUAUUUUGUUGGUUUUCGGAACCCCGAGGUAAUGAUUAACAGGAACGGAUGGGGGCAUUCGUAUUGCGACGUUAGAGGUGAAAUUCUUGGAUCGUCGCAAGACGGACAGAAGCGAAAGCAUUUGCCAAAAACGUUUUCAUUGAUCAAGAACGAAAGUUAGAGGUUCGAAGGCGAUCAGAUACCGCCCUAGUUCUAACCAUAAACGAUGCCAGCUAGCGAUCCGCCGACGUUCCUCCGAUGACUCGGCGGGCAGCUUCCGGGAAACCAAAGCUUUUGGGUUCCGGGGGAAGUAUGGUUGCAAAGCUGAA
rnacentral:rRNA from 1 species